rnacentral:rRNA from 1 species
UACGGGGGGGGCAAGCGUUGUUCGGAAUUACUGGGCGUAAAGGGCUCGUAGGCGGCCAACUAAGUCAGACGUGAAAUCCCUCGGCUUAACCGGGGAACUGCGUCUGAUACUGGAUGGCUUGAGUUUGGGAGAGGGAUGCGGAAUUCCAGGUGUAGCGGUGAAAUGCGUAGAUAUCUGGAGGAACACCGGUGGCGAAGGCGGCAUCCUGGACCAACACUGACGCUGAUGAGCGAAAGCCAGGGGAGCAGACGGG